rfam:Limnoraphis robusta CS-951 contig087, whole genome shotgun sequence.
GGGCGAUUAGCUCAGUGGUAGAGCGCCUGCCUUACAAGCAGGAUGUCACUGGUUCAAGUCCAGUAUCGCCCA